GCCUGGCUGGCUCAGCAGGUGGAGCGUGUGACUCCUGAUCUCAGGGCUAUGGGUUCAAGCCCCAGGUUGGGGG
rnacentral:tRNA from 1 species